UACAGAGGUCUCAAGCGUUGUUCGGAUUCAUUGGGCGUAAAGAGCGUGUAGGCGGCCAGACAGGUCAGCUGUGAAAACUCGAGGCUCAACCUCGAGACGUCGGUUGAAACCGUCUGGCUGGAGUCCGGAAGAGGAGAGUGGAAUUCCCGGUGUAGCGGUGAAAUGCGCAGAUAUCGGGAAGAACACCCGUGGCGAAGGCGGCUCUCUGGGACGGUACUGACGCUGAGACGCGAAAGCGUGGGGAGCGAACAGG
rnacentral:rRNA from 1 species